CUGACAGCCCUGGAAAAUGAAGUUCUCUAUUUAUACACAAAACAGAUGCAACUUGCAUGCCAGCAGUUUAAGCUUCUCCAAACAGCUUACAUGUCUCAAUCCUGUUCUACAGGGACAGUGUCUGAGGGUGGGAUGGAAGAAAUGAACCCAGGUCCUAGGAUUUAUAUUUGUGCAUCA
rnacentral:sRNA from 1 species